UACGUAGGGGGCAAGCGUUGUCCGGAUUUAUUGGGCGUAAAGAGCGUGUAGGCGGCCAGGUAGGUCUGCUGUGAAAACUCGAGGCUUAACCUCGAGCUGUCGGCGGAAACCAUCUGGCUAGAGUCCGGAAGAGGAGAAUGGAAUUCCCGGUGUAGCGGUGAAAAUGCGCAGAUAUCGGGAAGAACACCCGUGGCGAAGGCGGUUCUCUGGGACGGUACUGACGCUGGAGACGCGAAAGCGUGGGGAGCGAACAGG
rnacentral:rRNA from 1 species